rnacentral:sRNA from 1 species
AGAUUCUCCUCGUAGAGCAUGAGGAGUUAAAUCAAAAGAAAGCUCACUGAGA